rnacentral:sRNA from 1 species
AAGAUGACUUCAGAAACUGAGGGAGAGAGACCCACUUGAGACUAGGCAGCAAACAGUGAAGAAGAAAUGAGCAACAUGGUGUGCAGGAGCAAAGUUUCAUACUGUAUAUCUCUACUCUAAGUGUACAAUGCCUAUAAAUGGAAAGUAUGCUUUCUUGGCUUUCCUUUAGCCUAUUUUCCAAGCAAGAACUAUUGUUGUUGGUAAUUUAGGUACAUGGAAUAGUAAGUUGAAGUCUUGAAUUCUUAUUUAAUAAUAAUACACUUAAUACAUUGUCAGUGUUUAAUUUUGUCUUCCCAUUGUUCUUAUUCCUGCUAGUUUUCACAAAUAGAAAACUUACACUGAAGGGGAAAAUUGCCUUAAUGAUAAUUGUGGGUGUGUUUUUUCCUCUAUCUUUUAUUUUUAGGUGCAGUUUUCUUGGUUGUUUUUUGCAGGAGCUAUCCCUGUAUUUUUUUCAUUUUUUAUUGUAACUCUCCUAUGCCAUUAUAAUAAUUGGGAUCCUGUGAUGGUGGGAAUCAGAAGAAUAUUUGCUUUUAUAUGCAGAAAACAUCGAAUUCAGAGAGUUCCAGAAGACAGCGAACAGUGUGAGAGUCUCAUCUCUAUGCACAGUGUUUCUCAGGAGGAUGGAGCU